ACAAACCUGUACAAGGUCUUUGGAGUGUGGGAGCUAACCGGAGCUCCCAAAGAAAACCUACGAAGGUCACUGGGAGAACGU